rnacentral:lncRNA from 1 species
UGAAUUUACAGCUACAGAGGUAUCCACCUUCUGUGUUAAGAAUUGUUGUGCUGUGCUCUUGUGCACAUCAUAGUGGAAGAUGUUCUACUCUUGCAAGCCCCCCCCGAGGCACGUGAAGCUGGAGUCAAGUUAUGAUAAAACACAAAGUAAGCCCAAGCCAGCAUCCUGAUAUUGGCAUGUGUGUAUAUAGGUAUGUAGCAUGGCAUUUUUCACAUCUGAAUUAUAUGAAUAGGGUUCAUUAUCAAAUUUAUUUUAUUUCUCAUUGUUUCAUGCUUACAGUAGGUGAAAAUAGUAUGGGAAUACUCCUGCCUGUUCUGCAUUCUCAGGUUUGACUUGUUUAUGAAAAACACUAUUUAAAACUCUACUGUCAGCAACGCAGAGGUAUACAAACUGUCCAUCCUGUAGGAAUCUUUACUUGUAAUGCAUUGUUAUUCAAAUCUUGUAUAAGCUCAGGUUAGAUGUUCCAGUUGUCUGAAAACACUGUUAUAUUUUAAAGUUUAAGUGAAAUGUUUAGCACGGGAGAUGGGAGGGGGGGGAGAGGAAAGAACAAAAAAAAAGACAAAUUUUUUCUGAAAAAUGACAAAUUUAUAUUCGUUUUUAUUUGCUUAAAACAUUAUUUUUCUAGACUUUCUUGGAGGUAUGUGCAUCAACAUUAAUGACUCUAAGUAUUCACAGAUUUCCAGUAAGUCUUCAUUUAUUGUUAAAAGCAUUGAAUGUUUUCCUUUUUCUGUAUGUCACCCCAGAAAAUAUCUCAGAGAAUUCCUUUUCCUUACAACAUGACCAAUUUUCUAUCCCUUAGUGGCAAGUAUUACAGCAUCCUGUAGGACCUUAAUUAUGUUUGCUAUUCUUAGAUGGUGCUCCCAUGAAAAGUCCACUUGAAAAAAAAGAUAGAAAAGGAACCCCAUACUGAAAGCGAGUUUGUUUUGACUGACCAGUGCCUAAAUGUUGUAUCUGAGCUCAUAAUGUGAAUUUCACAUGUAUUGCUUUGUGGCUUCAUUUCAUAAAACCAAAUUCAUGUCUGGUAAUAUUCUGCUAUGGUGUAAAACAUUGCACAUAAAUACCAAACUGAAAGUAACUUUCUUGUGAAUUCUGUACACUGCUUUACCAUUCUUAUUAUAUUGUUUCUUUGUAGAAAGUAACAGAUGUUCUGGUAUCAGAUGGGGUUCUAUCUUUCCAGCCUCCAAAAAAACAUUCUCUUGACAAAAAUUACUAGGUAUCCAGGUUUCAUUUUUAGUUUUGCUUGAUUGUUGUGCAAUGAGUCAAAAUUCAAUCUUGCUCCAAAAACAAAAAAUAACAUUUUAGAAUAGGUGUAUUUAGAAACAUAAUUUAGGUAGAAAGUUCAGAAGUACAGGUUGAAUUUUAAACGACAGGCAUUUCACUGAGUUUGCCAGAUCCAUACAAUAUGUUGUUAUUGCUUUUUCUGGGCUUUGUUGAACAUGUAUUUUUGGAUAGUGUUGUAGCUUGAGCAGGCAUCAAGGCAGAAAGUACCACCAUACUGUAAACUCAGUCAGAACUUCAGCUGAGGUGAUUUUUGUUCUCCUAUCCUUUCUGUGCAGUUAGGAGAAUAAUUUACCUUAUUGGGACAGCUGCAAUUAAAUUAAUUAAUUGUUUAUCACAUCAGCAUGGUUUUCUCAAGUUAUUUUCUGUGUACUUUCCUACUGCUACUUAGAUAAUGCUAAAGGAUUUCUUAUUGCUGUGAUAAUCCAGUGCUUUAUGGCAAGGCUUUUGAAGUCAGGAAGGACAGGCUAACACUCAGCUCCCAUUGAUAACUUAACAUCUUAUACAUGUUUUAUCUCCAAAUCACAGAAACCCUGUUAUAAUAUUUUAACUACCUAGAUGGUUUUUGUGACUUUGUUAUUCUUUUAAAAGCGUGAUUUCUACUGUUUUAAAUGUGCAUGUUAUAUGCAUUUGGUUUAUGUUCAUGAUAUUAAUGAAAGAUUGGAUGACACUUGCAGUUGUUUUCCAUUACUUGAAGUGAAAAACAACCUUUUAAAUAAACUUGAAGUAAUGUGGUUUUGACA